AGCGGAGGAAAAGAAACUAACAAGGAUUCCCCUAGUAACUGCGAGUGAAGCGGGAAAAGCUCAAAUUUAAAAUCUGGUGGCCUUUGUCCAUNCGAGUUGUAAUUUAGAGAAGCGUCUUCCGCGCUGGACCGUGCACAAGUCUCCUGGAAUGGAGCGUCGUAGAGGGUGAGAAUCCCGUCUUUGGCACGGACACACCAGGGCUUCUGUGAUGCGCUCUCGAAGAGUCGAGUUGUUUGGGAAUGCAGCUCAAAAUGGGUGGUGAACUCCAUCUAAAGCUAAAUAUUGGCGAGAGACCGAUAGCGAACAAGUACCGUGAGGGAAAGAUGAAAAGCACUUUGGAAAGAGAGUGAAACAGUACGUGAAAUUGUUGAAAGGGAAACGCUUGAAGUCAGUCGCGUCGGCCGAGACUCAGCCUUGCCUCGGCUCGGUGUACUUCUCGGUUGACGGGUCAGCAUCAAUUUUGCCCCUUGGAUAAUGGCGAGGGAAAUGUGACACCUUUAUAGGUGUGUUAUAGUCUCUCGUCGCAUGCAAGGGUCGGGAUUGAGGAACUCAGCACGCCCCUUUGGGCGUCGGGGUUUUGCCCACGAUACGUGCUUAGGAUGUUGGCGUAAUGGCUUUAAACGACC
rnacentral:rRNA from 1 species